rnacentral:rRNA from 1 species
AACGAACGCUGGCGGCAUGCCUAACACAUGCAAGUCGAACGAGACCUUCGGGUCUAGUGGCGCACGGGUGCGUAACGCGUGGGAACCUGCCCUUAGGUUCGGAAUAACUCCCCGAAAGGGGUGCUAAUACCGGAUAAUGUCUUCGGACCAAAGAUUUAUCGCCUUUGGAUGGGCCCGCGUUGGAUUAGCUAGUUGGUAGGGUAAAAGCCUACCAAGGCGACGAUCCAUAGCUGGUCUGAGAGGAUGAUCAGCCACACUGGGACUGAGACACGGCCCAGACUCCUACGGGAGGCAGCAGUGGGGAAUAUUGGACAAUGGGCGAAAGCCUGAUCCUGCAAUGCUGCGUGAGUGAUGAAGGCCUUAGGGUUGUAAAGCUCUUUUACCCGGGAUGAUAAUGACAGUACCGGGAGAAUAAGCUCCGGCUAACUCCGUG